GAUGAAGAACGUAGCGAAAUGCGAUAAGUAAUGUGAAUUGCAGAAUUCAGUGAAUCAUCGAAUCUUUGAACGCACAUUGCGCCCGCGAGUAUUCUCGCGGGCAUGCCUGUCCGAGCGUCAUUUCAACCCUCAGGGCCCGCCUGCUUGCAGGCGCGGCGCUGGUGUUGGGGAUCGGCUACCCUGCCGUCCCCCAAAUACAGUGGCGGUCUCGCUGCAGCCUCCCCUGCGUAGUAGCAACACUCGCAUGCGGAGCGCGGCGCGGCCACGCCGUAAAACCCCCGACUUUCUGAACGUUGACCUCGGAUCAGGUAGGAAUACCCGCUGAACUUAAGCAUAUCAAUAAGCGGAGG
rnacentral:misc_RNA from 1 species